UAGGGAAUCUUCGGCAAUGGGGGCAACCCUGACCGAGCAACGCCGCGUGAGUGAAGAAGGUUUUCGGAUCGUAAAGCUCUGUUGUAAGUCAAGAACGGGUGUGAGAGUGGAAAGUUCACACUGUGACGGUAGCUUACCAGAAAGGGACGGCUAACUACGUGCCAGCAGCCGCGGUAAUACGUAGGUCCCGAGCGUUGUCCGGAUUUAUUGGGCGUAAAGCGAGCGCAGGCGGUUUGAUAAGUCUGAAGUUAAAGGCUGUGGCUCAACCAUAGUUCGCUUUGGAAACUGUCAAACUUGAGUGCAGAAGGGGAGAGUGGAAUUCCACGUGUAGCGGUGAAAUGCGUAGAUAUAUGGAGGAACACCGGUGGCGAAAGCGGCUCUCUGGUCUGUAACUGACGCUGAGGCUCGAAAGCGUGGGGAGCGAACAGGAUUAGAUACCCUGGUAGUCCACGCCGUAAACGAUGAGUGCUAGGUGUUGGAUCCUUUCCGGGAUUCAGUGCCGCAGCUAACGCAUU
rnacentral:rRNA from 1 species